rnacentral:misc_RNA from 1 species
GAUGAAGAACGCAGCGAAAUGCGAUAAGUAAUGUGAAUUGCAGAAUUCAGUGAAUCAUCGAAUCUUUGAACGCACAUUGCGCCCCCUGGUAUUCCGGGGGGCAUGCCUGUCCGAGCGUCAUUACAACCCUCAAGCUCAGCUUGGUGUUGGGCCCCGCCGCCCCGGCGGGCCCUAAAGUCAGUGGCGGUGCCGUCCGGCUCCGAGCGUAGUAAUUCUUCUCGCUCUGGAGGUCCGGUCGUGUGCUUGCCAGCAACCCCCAAUUUUUUUCAGGUUGACCUCAGAUCAGGUAGGGAUACCCGCUGAACUUAAGCAUAUCAAUAAGCGGAGGA